UCUCCGUUGGUGACCAGCGGAGGGAUCAUUACAGGACUCGCAAGACUCCUUCACCCUGUGAACCUCACUACAAGCACGUUGCUUCGGCGGGUGUCCCGGCGGGGGUUUUCCCUCGCCGGGGCGCACAGCCGGCCGGCAGCCUACCGUACUCUGUCUCUUUGCGUUGGCAUCUCGAGAAAAAACAAACAAGUUCAAACUUUCAACAACGGAUCUCUUGGUUCUG
rnacentral:misc_RNA from 1 species